CCGGCCUCUCGAUGGUUCUUGCCCUCCCCCCAGCUCGCACCCUGCGUCUCUGAUCUGGGCUGCGUCCCGCUCCAGCGCGUCCAGCAGCAGUCAAGGUUCUAGGUGCAGUUGCAGCUUUUCUUCCUAUGCUGAGCAUAAAUGAACUGGCCAUUUAAAAAAAUAAAAAAUGUGGAAAAAACCUAAAGCCCAUUUGGAUUUAAUCCUAACUCAGGAUGAUGAUGACCUUACUGGCAUAUGGCACCCUGUCCCAAAGUAGAGACCUCUUCAGAAGCAAAGCGUGGAUGGACAUCUCCAGGCCAAAUUGUAACACAUUUCUGCUUCUACAGUGAAAAGAACUGGGAUCGAUCAUGAUCAAGGUCCUGAUUGAAAGUCCUGUGAAGUCAUUGGGGGUCCCUUCAUGGAUUUAAUUGGGCUUUGGGUCAGGCCCUGACUGAGAAAAAAUAUGGUGAAAUUCAAGCAGAGAAGGAAUCUGAUUUGCCAUGGCCUUCUAUCUAGUCAGAGGUAGAGCAGGGAUUAGAACUCUUUAACAGAUUCUGAGCUUAAUGAUUCACUCCAUCCCGUCAAACCUUCUGCGGAUUUUUCUCACUGAAUGUCUUGGGCAGGGCUAAAUUUUGACAUUUUUGUUUUUCUCUGACUUAUGGAGGUUCAAAAUAAAUCAAUUUAGGACCGUGUCCUAUGACUGGUAAGAAGUCACAGAAAGAGUCUCCUUCCUCUAACACUGAACAAGUAACUUCAUUAGAAGAAGGAAAAUGGCAUUAUUCCUAAUUUUUUUUCUCACUGCUUUGCUGUAGAGCUUCUGCCUCAAACCUUCUCAAGCCCCCUCCUGGCUAGCAUCUGUUUAUAGUUGUAAACAAACAGGACACAUAUGCUCACACACAGCACAGAAUGAAGAGGAACAGGGCAAGUCUUGUACAGCUCUAUCCUGCUGGGAAUGACAACGGCACCAUGAUUCCUCUCUCAUCACACCAUUUUUUCUUCUUGGCUUCCAGUAUCUUUUGCAACCGCAGGGGAGAGAUUUGGUAGGGCUGAAAGAAGGCCCUACUACCAUUCCUAUGAUGAAGAGGAGGAGGGGAUUUUUGCCAGGGGAAGCCUCUUCCAUUUUUGAUGACCUUCCUAGAACCUUCAGGGUUCCAUCCUUCGCUGAUUAGCCCUUGCUUUGUGGAUACCAGCUUUCUGGCCAAGGAAGACUGGAUGAGGGGGCUUGAAAAUGGUCUUUCCCUGUCCUCUCCACUUCUCCAGUGCUGCCUGGCUUCGCAAACCAACAUUUCUGUGCCUUCUUCUAUGUUGUCCUUUACACAUGCAAGGAACCAUAACGAGGAAGGGAUCAUACCUUCUUUUCUGUCUGGGAAAUGCUAAAUCACUGUGGAUGCUGCUAGAAAUAAGCUGGAUACUGCUGACAAUGUUUGCUCCUGCCCCAGGCCAGAGGCAACCAACCAAUGCACCCUUUCUUGGACUACCAGG